UUCCUUCAUCCAUCUCAUCUUCUUUGUCUCUCCAUUUCCUUUCCAUUUUUCUCUCAAUUCUCUAGUUUUAAGUUUCUGCAUUUUUAUGCAAAGAGAAGAAGAGAAGAAGAAGCCAUGAAGCCUACUAGCCGUCAUCAUCCACCUUGUGCCGUGAUAGUGAAGUCUUGCUUUAAAGAUUCAAGAUCAACGUCUCAAGCUCUUCAUCAUCCACUCCCUUCAUGGUAUUUGUAG
rnacentral:lncRNA from 1 species